UCCCGUCCACCGAUUGACUAAGGUUUCCAGAGGAAGGCUCGUCCGCUCUGGGUUAGUCGGGUCCUAAGCUGAGGCCGACAGGCGUAGGCGAUGGAUAACAGGUUGAUAUUCCUGUACCACCUAUAAUCGUUUUAAUCGAUGGGGGGACGCAGUAGGAUAGGCGAAGCGUGCGAUUGGAUUGCACGUCUAAGCAGUAAGGCUGAGUAUUAGGCAAAUCCGGUACUCAUUAAGGCUGAGCUGUGAUGGGGAGAAGACAUUGUGUCUUCGAGUCGUUGAUUUCACACUGCCGAGAAAAGCCUCUAGAUAGAAAAUAGGUGCCCGUACCGCAAACCGACACAGGUAGUCAAGAUGAGAAUUCUAAGGUGAGCGAGCGAACUCUCGUUAAGGAACUCGGCAAAAUGACCCCGUAACUUCGGGAGAAGGGGUGCUCUUUAGGGUUAACGCCCAGAAGAGCCGCAGUGAAUAGGCCCAAGCGACUGUUUAUCAAAAACACAGGUCUCUGCUAAACCGUAAGGUGAUGUAUAGGGGCUGACGCCUGCCCGGUGCUGGAAGGUUAAGAGGAGUGGUUAGCUUCUGCGAAGCUACGAAUCGAAGCCCCAGUAAACGGCGGCCGUAACUAUAACGGUCCUAAGGUAGCGAAAUUCCUUGUCGGGUAAGUUCCGACCCGCACGAAAGGCGUAACGAUUUGGGCACUGUCUCAACGAGAGACUCGGUGAAAUCAUAGUACCUGUGAAGAUGCAGGUUACCCGCGACAGGACGGAAAGACCCCGUGGAGCUUUACUGUAGCCUGAUAUUGAAAUUCGGCACAGCUUGUACAGGAUAGGUAGGAGCCUUUGAAACGUGAGCGCUAGCUUACGUGGAGGCGCUGGUGGGAUACUACCCUAGCUGUGUUGGCUUUCUAACCCGCACCACUUAUCGUGGUGGGAGACAGUGUCAGGCGGGCAGUUUGACUGGGGCGGUCGCCUCCUAAAAGGUAACGGAGGCGCUCAAAGGUUCCCUCAGAAUGGUUGGAAAUCAUUCAUAGAGUGUAAAGGCAUAAGGGAGCUUGACUGCGAGACCUACAAGUCGAGCAGGGUCGAAAGACGGACUUAGUGAUCCGGUGGUUCCGCAUGGAAGGGCCAUCGCUCAACGGAUAAAAGCUACCCCGGGGAUAACAGGCUUAUCUCCCCCAAGAGUUCACAUCGACGGGGAGGUUUGGCACCUCGAUGUCGGCUCAUCGCAUCCUGGGGCUGUAGUCGGUCCCAAGGGUUGGGCUGUUCGCCCAUUAAAGCGGUACGCGAGCUGGGUUCAGAACGUCGUGAGACAGUUCGGUCCCUAUCCGUCGUGGGCGUAGGAAAUUUGAGAGGAGCUGUCCUUAGUACGAGAGGACCGGGAUGGACAUACCUCUGGUGUACCAGUUGUCGUGCCAACGGCAUAGCUGGGUAGCUAUGUGUGGACGGGAUAAGUGCUGAAAGCAUCUAAGCAUGAAGCCCCCCUCAAGAUGAGAUUUCCCAACUUCGGUUAUAAGAUCCCUCAAAGAUGAUGAGGUUAAUAGGUUCGAGGUGGAAGCAUGGUGACAUGUGGAGCUGACGAAUACUAA
rnacentral:rRNA from 1 species